GAUCCAAUCUCUCUACAUCCUGGCCAGCACUUGUUAUUUCCUUACUUUUUUUUUUUUUUUUCUUUUGGUAGUGGCCAUCCUAAUAGAUGUGAGGUGAUAUCUCAUUGUGGUUUAUAUUUGCAUUUCCAUGAUGGGGAUCUUCCUGACCCAGGGAUCGAACCCAGGUCUCUCACCUUGCAGGCAGACGUUUUAACCUCUGAGCCACCAAGGAAACCCGAUGAAGACUCAGUUCUCCUUAACUAAACUUCUGUCAGGCUCCUCUGAGACAUCUUCCCCACCAGGUCUCAGCCUUGUCCCUGUCCUGUUCUUGUGCAACUUCGGCUAACAGAGGGCUGGUUUACUUGGAUCUCAUUUACUACAGGAUCCUGGAUGCCUGGCAAAAGACGAUCUGAGAGGACAAGUCUGGACCUGUUGGUGGCCCCUGUACCUCCACAUGAAGUUUGAGAAGGAAUGAAGUUGGCAUGAAGCAGAGCAGAACCAAGACCACUGGGCCUUGGUUACAUGGUUGGACCUGGAGCAAGUUGGUCCCAAAAUUGGUUGCACCCAAGAUUUUUCAGAUAUGAGGCAAUAAAUUUCCUUUUUUGCUUAAUAUGAUCUUCUCUGGUAGCUCGGGCAUAAAGAAUCCACCUGCAAUUCAGGAGACCCCAGUUCAAUCCCAGGAUCAGGAAGAUCCCCUGGAGAAGGGACAGGCUACCCACUCCAGGAUUCUUGGCCUCCCUGGUGGCUCAGAC
ensembl:lncRNA